UGUAACCACAAAAGUAUGUGUUCUUUUCCGUUUUUUCUAUUUCUCAAGAUCUUAUAAUAGUGGUCUUAUACAAUAUUUGUCCUUUUGCAACUGACUCAUUUCGCUCAGCAUAAUGCCUUCCAGAUUCCUCCAUGUUAUGAAGUGUUUCAGAGAUUCGUCACUGUUCUUUAUCGAUGCGUAGUAUUCCAUUGUGUGAAUAUACCACAAUUUAUUUACCCAUUCGUCCGUUGAUGGACAUCUUGUUUGCUUCCAGCUUUUUGCUAUUGUAAACAGAGCUGCAAUAAACAUGGGUGUGCAUAUAUCUGUUUGUGUGAAGGGUCUUGUAUUUUUAGGGUAUAUUCCGAGGAGUGGGAUUUCUGGGUUGUAUGGUAGUUCUAUUUCUAACUGUUUAAGAUAACGCCAGAUGGAUUUCCAAAGUGGUUGACAAGUACCAUAGUUUUUUGAGGUUCAUUCAUGUUGUAGUACAGUGUUCCACUGGAUGGCUAGACCAUGUUUUGUUUAUCUGUUCAUCAACUGAUGGACAUUUGGGUGGUUUCCACUUUCUGGCUACUAUGAGCGAAGCUGCUGUGAACAUGUACUUACAAGUUUUUGUGUGGACAUACAUUUUUAUUUCUCUUGAGUAGAUCCUCCAUGUUCUUUUUUUUUUUUUUUUUCUGUUUUCCUAGGGUUUAUAAUAGUUUCACUCAUGUGCUUAGUUUCUAUGUUCCCAUAACUAAUUCAGCCUUGAAUUUUAUGGCAGAAACUGUCAAUAUGAUGGUCAGUUCCUUUUAUCCCCUUGGUGAUGUGUCUCCUGGAGCCCUCUCCCUUUUUGCCCCAUCUGAUGGUUGCGGACUAGGCUUGGGACUACCCUUAACGAUCAUCCUGGGCGGGUGGGGGAGGGGGAGGCCCUGUCAGUAUUGAAAGCCCUGUUUCCUUUUUCUUGUUUUACACCCUCGAUGGAGCAUAUCCCCCAUAGCUUCCUGAGAAAGAGUGGUCAAUUUUUUGAGGCCUUGCAUGUCUGUAAAUGUCUGUUCUUACUUCACUCCAAUUUGAAUUUUGACUGAGUUUAGGAUUAUAGGUUGGACAUGAUUUUAUGUUAGAAUCUUGAGGGCAUUACCUAAUUGUCUUCUAGCUUCUACUGGUUGAGAAAUCCAGUGCUGUUGUGAUUCCUGAUCCUGUGUGUGUGACCUGCGUUCUCUUUUGGAGGCUUUUAGGAUCUUCUCUUUGCCCUUGAUGUUCUGAAGUCCGUGGUGAUGUGCCUUGAGACAGCUGGGCUACCGUUCCUUGUCCCCAGUUGGUGAGGCUCUGGAGGGCCGACUGCUUCCAUCCUGUCCUGGCACUGUGAGCCGCAGCCCGCAGAGGAUCUGCCAGGUCCUGAGCCAGCCUGUGGCACUGUCCUGGGGCUCUGUUGGCUUCUCCCUGCAGUCAGUUUCACCUUUGGUCUGCUGAAUCAGUUACUGCUUGUCUGUGCCUUCCAUCUCCUGACCUUUGGUGAUGUUUUUCAUCUGCCUUCCCGUUUUCUUUGUCUUUGUGAAUUUAUACAUUUAAAAAUGUUCUUUCCUGUAAUUUGUAACGGGGUUUCAGAAGGAAGCAAAGAUAACCAUGUAUAUUCGAUGCCGCGUGUAUAACUUGGCCUAUCUCUUUAUAUCAACUCACUUUUUUUGCUGAAGUAAACUUAAAAAACUAAAAAAAAAAAAAAAAAAAAAACUUAGGCUGUCCUAAAACCCUGGUGGCGUAGUGGUUAAGCGCUAUUGCUGCUAACCAAAGGGUCGGCAGUUCAAAUCCAUCAGGCGCUCCUUGGAAACUCUAUGAGGCAGUUCUACUCUGUCCUGUAGGGUCACUAUGAGUCGGAAUCGACUCGACGGCAAUGGGUUUGUUUUUUUGGUUAAGUAUUUAUAUUUGUGAAGUCACCAAUUUGACGGUCUAGUUAUGUAGCCUUCUAAUAUAAAUUAAAAUGAAUUCAUAACUGGUAAGAUAAGCAGAAACAAGUUCUUUUAGAGCCCUGGUGGUGCAGUGGUUAAGAGCUCAGCUGUUAACCAAAAGGUCAGCAGUUCAAAUCCAUCAGCCACUCCUUGGAAACCCUAUGGCGCAGUUCUACUCCAUCCUGUAGGGUCGCUAUGAGUCAGAAUCAACUCGACGGCAACGGGUUUAAAAUUGUCAAAACCUUUACCAACUAAAAUUAACUCAUGUCCCCCAGUGAUAGUUGCUGUGGGUGUCCCCAGGGUAGAAUACCCCAACGGGGCCUGGCAAGGAAUAGGUGCCUAGUCCUUGAGUGGCACAAACAGUUAAGUGUUCAACUACUAACCGAAAGGUUGACAGUUCAGAUCCACCCAGAGGUGCCUUGGAAGACAGGCCUGGUGAUCUGCUUCUGAAAGGUCACAGCCUUGAAAACUGUGGAGCGGUUCUACUCUGCACACGUGGGGUUGUUUUGAGUCAGAAUCAAUGACAACUAAGGUCUGUCUAAUGCUGAGAAGGAGGCACUUCAAGCUCAGGCUGGUAGAUGGCUCCUCAGCCUGUGUGUUGAAGUCACUGAGAAGGCUGGGGUGGUGAGCCCUGGGAGCCAGGCUGAGUGGUGGGAAGGGUGUGGCCAGCACACAGCAGGAGGCAGAGGUGAGGAGAAGGUAGACAAUGACUAAAGGAAGGACUUCCCGUUUCGCCAGUGAGUCAUACGUGGGAAAAAUGGCUUGGUGAGGUGGGGCACAGAUCACCUUUUGACUCCUGGUGGCACGGUGGUUCAGAGCUUGGCUGCUAACUAAAAGGUCAGUAGUUCAAAUCCACCAGACACUUCUUGGAAAUCCUAUGAGGCAGUUCUACUCUGUCUUUGCUACAAGUCAGAAUCUGCUUGCACCCAAUUCACUAACAUUUGUGUUGAAAGAGGUGUUGUUGCCCACAGUAUUUAUUUUCCACCCGGUUUUAGCUCCUUUUUUAGCCCAUUUUUCCUGGAGGUUUUCUGGGGUUGCUCAGACCACCAAAUCUGAGUCCCCUGUGCUUUCUCCUCCUUCCUCCGCCCUUUCUGGCCUCACCCUUGACAAACAGUCUCCACAUUCACACCCAGGCCCUUGGCCUCGUGUCCCUGCACAGGGCCUGCCUCUCUCGACAGUCUUCUCUGUUGUUCUCCUGCUCAGCUCAUGGCUUGGUACGUUAGAAAAGCAUAUUUUUGCGUCUAUAUUGACGAGACCUUUUGUUCCCUUCAAUCUGGUAAUUAAAAAGAAAGCUCUGAAGCAACUUUAUUCAAAUAGAACUUCCCAAAUAUCACCUUUUUUCUGUUCUUCUGGAUUCUUAGGUGAACUUCAUUGAUGUGCACAUACCUUUUCACAUCUAGGUUCCUCUGUGGUGCAGCAGUCAAGGUGUCGUUUGUCAUAGUCACGGGAUCCAGUGUGCGGUGACCUGUCUGCAUAGACAGACACUCGCUGUUCACGGCCCUGUUGAACAUUUGAGCCAUUUGCGGUUUUUCAUUAAGGUGAGCCGUGUUGCUCCAGACACUUAAAACCAAGUCACAUUGGCAUUAAUUCAAAAGAGGAAUCGUCACGUUCGGGGCUGUGUCGCUGAGGAAUCGUCACGUUCGGGGCUGUGUCGCUGAGGAAUCGUCACGUUGGGGGCUGUGUCGCUGAGGAAUCAUCACGUUGGGGGCUGUGUCGCUGAGGAAUCGUCACGUUCAGGGCUGUGUUGCUGCUCUUUCCCUCUGCCAGCUGGUAGCCUUGCAUCUUUAAAACUUCUCCAGUACUUCACAUGACUAUGGUGAUUGGGGACUACGACUUGGGAAAUUUUUUUUCUUCACCCAAAUGAUUCAAAAUACAAAAAAAAAAAACAACAACCUGAUGCUCUCAAGCCUAUUCCAACUCACAGCAACCCUGUAGGACAGAGUAGAGCUGCCCCGUAGGUUUCUAAGCCUAUAAUCUUUAUGAAAGCAGACAGCCACAUUUUCUCCUACAGAGCAGCUGGUGGAUUCGAACCGCUGACGUCUUAGUUAGCAGCCGAGCACUUAACUACUGUGCCACCAGGGCUCCUUUCCAAAAUACAGAAGGGUCCCAUGAAAGGGCUUCUUCCCAACCCUGCCCACCAUCUGCCUAGGUCCCACCACCCUACCUCCUCACAAGUUGUUGACAUUUUCACCCGCUUCAAAACUCACUUAAUACACAACAAGCAAAUAACAAAGGUGGACUUUAAUUUUUUGCUGCUUUUUUUAUUUUUGUGUAGAAAGGUAGCAUCCAAUAAAUGCUGUUUUCCGGUACCUUGCCUUCCCCCCACCCCCGCCUUAACAAUGUUUGUUAGAAAUCUUCCUAGCCUUUUUCACUGCCACGUGGUUUUCCAUUUCAUGGAUGCAGUGUAACUUUUUUACCAGUCCCUCAUUGAUGGACAUUUGAGGUUGCUUCCGGUCUUAUCCAUUAAAAACACUGCUGCAGUGAAUAGCUUUGUAAAGUCAUCAUUUCACACCUGUGCAGGUAUGGGUGCAGGAGUGGGGCAGCGGGAUCCACAUGGGCCUGGCAAUGUCAGAGGUACUGCCAGGAUUCAGUGAGGUAAAACACACAUGGGGAAAGGGGCAGACACUAACGUUCCCUUCUGUGUGCCUUGGUAGUAUGACAGCUCUUGCCUUACUGCCCUCCCUGGUGGAUGUGCCGAUUUUUCUGCCACCACCAGCCACCCCUUCCCCCAGUGUGUAGGAGAGUAUCUGUUUCCUUCCCCACAGCCUCACCCCCGGAGUCCAGUUUGAUCCAGUUUGCCGGCUCCCUUCACUUUAAAAAUUGCUCAUCAAGGUACCAUUGCCAUCAAGUUGAUUCUGACUUAUAGGGACCUUAUAGGACAGAGUAGAACUGUCCCGUAGGGUUUCCAAGGACUGGCUGGUGAAUUCCAACUGCUGACCUUUUGGUUAGCAGCCUGAGCUCUUAACCACUGUGCCACCAGAGCUCCUCAUUAAGGCUGUUGUUAGGUGCCAUCAAGUCAGUUCCAACUCAUAGCAACCCUGUAUACAACAGAAUGAAACACUGCCCAGUCCUGUGCCAUCCUUAAAAUCGUUGCUAUGCUUGAGCUCAUUGUUCGAGCCACUGUGUCAGUCCACCUCGUUGAGGGUCUUCCUCUUUUCCGCUGACUCUGUACUCUGCCAAACAUGAUGUCCUCCUCCAGGGACUGAUCCCUCCUGACAACAAGUCCAAAAUAUGUAAGGCACAGUCUCGCCAUCCUUGCUUCUAAGGAGCAUUCUGGUUGUACUUACUCUAAGACAGAUUUGUUCGUUCUUUUGGCAGUCCAUGGUAUAUUCAGGAUUCUUCGCCAACACCACAAUUCAAAGGCGUCAGUUCUUCUUCGGUCUUCCUUAUUCGUUGUCCUUAUUCUUAUUCCUUAUUCUUUGUCGCUGACCCUCUUCUUUACCAAGCAUGAUGUCCUCCUCUAGGGACUGAUCCCCCCGACAACAUGAUCAAAGUAUGUAAAAAAAGUCCUGCCAUCCUUGUUUCUAAGGAGCAUUCUGGAUGUACUUCUUCCAAGACAGAGUUGUUUGUUGUUUUGGCAGUCCAUGGUGUAUUCUUCUCCAACACCACAAUUCAGAGGCGUCAAUUCUUCAGUCUUCUUUAUUCACCAUCCAGCUUUCACGUGCAGAGGAGGCGAUUGAAAACAUCAUGGCUUGGGUCAGGUGCACCUCAGUCUUCAAGGUGACAUCUUUGCUUUUCAACACUUUGAAGAGGUCUCUUGCAGCAGAUUUGCCCAAUGCAGUGCAUCUUUUGAUUUUUUGACAGCUGCUUCCAUGGGUGUUGAUUGUUGAUCCUAGAAAAAUGAAAUCCUUGACAAUGUCAAUCUUUACCUUGUUUUGUUGUGAUGUUGCUUAUUGGUUCAGUUGUGAGGGGUUUUGUUUUCUUUAUGUUGAGGUGUAAUUCAUACUGAAGGCUGUGGUCUUUGAUCUUUAGGUACCAAAACCAAAAAGCCAAACCCAUUGCUUUUGAGUCAUAGUGACUGUAUAGGACGGAGUGGAACUGUUCCAGAGGGUUUCCAAGGAGCGGCUGGUGGAUUUGAACUAUCCACUUUGUGGUUAGCAGCCUGAGCUCUUAACUGCUGUACCACCAGGGCUCCUCUGUUAUGCACACCAGCUCCUUACUUUCGGCCCUCUGCUUUGGGGGACUUGGAAGAUGGCUUCUUGUUUUACGUGCAGUUUUGUGCAGUUAUAUGUAGUUUCAUGGGCUGGAAAUUCAGUGCAGCUUCGUAUAAAAAUUCUUUGGGGCUUUCCAUCACGAUAAAUGGUGUUCUAGAAAUUGCAUCCUUUCACUGUAAUUCUCUUAAGACCAGCUUUCAUCAAAAUCUGUGGAUAUUUUAGGAAGUGCCCUUUUGUUAUAAACAGCCUCAUUUCUCACAAUACUUUCCUUUAAAUUUUUUUUUUAAAUCAAUCUUGAUUGUUUCUCUGAGCUAGUUGGGUGGGCUGUUUGUUUCUUGGGCUAGGGCUGGGCCUCGACAUGUGAUCACUGUUUUCCAUUAUUUAGUUCUUCUCUACAUGCAUAUGUUUGAUAAUGAAUACUGGACCAUUUCGUCUUGAUCCUACCCAGUCAUGUUGUCAUUUGCCCUGGCAUGCUUUGGUGUUCUCUGAGUGGACUUAACUGGGUCCCUUUAUUGGUUGUUGACAGUCUCUACUUUUCGAUCCCCCCCUCAGGCUUUGAGUUAUGUAGACAGCACCUGCUACAUGCCAACCACUGUGUCUGGUUAAACGUGCAGUGAUAGUUCGUGAAUCAUUUCAUUCUUUCUGGCAUGUACAUGGGGCCUGUUUUGUGCUGGGCAGCGGGUACAGUGCUGUCGAGGUAGAUGAGAUGCCCGCCCUCACAGAGUGUGAUGCCCUGGGUGCCAGGCAUCAUUCCAUGCCCUUUACCUAUAUUAUGUCUUAAUGCAAUUUUUUUUAAUGUUGUUGAGAAUAUAUACAGCAAAACUACACCAAUUCAACCAUUUCUACAUGUACAAUUCAGUGACAUUGAUUACAUUUUUCAAGUUGUACAACCAUUCUCACCCUCCUUUUCUGAGUUGUUCCUCCCCCAUUAACAUAAACUCACAGCCCCCUGAGUUUCCUAUCUGUUAGGGAUUGAAUCGUGUCCCCCAAAAAUAUGUUCUUAAUCCUAACCUCUAUACCUGUUGUUAUCAUCCCACUUGGGAAUGGGUUGUCUUUGUUACGUGAAUGAGGCCAGUUUAGUAUAGGGUGUGUUUUGAGUCAACCUGUUUUGAGAUAUAAAGGAGAUUAAACAAAGCAAAAGAAGGAGAGAUGGGGGAAGAGAAAUGCCAAGCCAUAUGAAGAUCACCCAGGAACAGAAGCUCAGAAGAGCCAAGAAUCUUCCUCCAGAGCCAGCAGAAAGAGAAAGCCUUCCCCUAGAGCCAGCACCGCGAAUUUGGACUUCUAGUCUCCUAAACUGUGAGAAAAUAAAUUUCAGUUUGUUAAAGCCACCUUGUGGUAUUUCUGUUAUUGCAGCUCUAGGUAACUAAGACACUGUGUAGUCUUUCAAGUUGCUGUUGUACUUUGAUCCCAUAUAAAUAGUUCUUAAAAAAAAUAACGCUCAAGCCAGCAAUUUUUUUACUAGUUAAGCUAAACUAUUUUUUAGUUUUAAGAAGACUUCAGGGGAUAUUUUUAGUUUACGUCUUAAAGAUUAUAUUAUCUCAGCACGAUAGUUUCAGGGGUUCCUCCAGCCCCCGUGGCUCCAGGAAGUCUGGAGUCCAUGAUCUUAAUGCAUUUUUGCUGUUAAUCGUUGCUGUAAUUCCGUAGUGUACUGUAGGUGAAGAAACUGAGGCCCAGAUGCCACAACUAGAAAGUGGUGGGAUGGUGACCUAAAGCAAGACAUGUCCAACUCCAAAACCUGUGUACUUUACCACCGUCUGAUGUAAGCGGGCUCCUAAGUGAAAAACACAAGGUGGUGUGGUGGGUGGGAUUGGAGGCUAGAGAGACCCUCUGCUCAGUUACCUUCAGUAGCCAAGUGCUUAUCAAGAGAUGACUGCCCUGGGCUGGGCCCUGCAGCCCUCCUCAGAGCCUUGGUUUCCUCUGUGAAGUGAGGAUGGCACUAUCUCCAUUCUUCCCUUUCUGAGCCCAUGGUGUUCACUCAUUCAUGACCAGGCACUGUUUGGUCAUAUCCAUGUGAUGACAGUGGUGCACAAAUUAAGUUAGCUAAAGUGAAUAAAGGGAAGGGUCAGGAACUAGCAUAUUCCCCGGGCUCUAUCUGAAAAUGAAUGAGGAACUUCACUUUGCAAGUUGACUGUGGCAGAACCAAGGAGCCUUUUUUUAGAAUACAGUUUUGUAAUGUUUAUUUUUUCCUUUAGAGCUUUAGAGAGAGCUUCUGUAGGUGUGGUGGGCGGGACACAGAGGAGCAGUCAGCGUGGGGUAGAAUGUUCCAUUUCUAGACCACAAGACUCCAGAGGUCAACUUUGUUGACAUGAUGGAAUUUUUUAAAGAGUGGCAGAACCCCAGAGCCUGGGCCUCAAAGGUAGGGCUCCCUGGGGAACCUGUUUAGAAAUGAAUCCUAAACCACUGAAGGGCUCAGAAACUGGAAAACCCAGCUCUUUCUGCAUCUCCCAGCCCUUUGGAAUUGCUAAUGAAUAUGGCGUCUAAGCAUGCCUUCCAAUCUGGCUCUUGCAUCUGGCUCUUGCAUCUGGUCUUUUGGGUUCUAGGCCUGGUGAGGAACGCUGAUGAAAUUGGGAGCUGCUGAGCCAGAUACGGAGCCACCUUCGUGGCCCUCCCUCUCCCACAGCUGCAGAGGGAAGAACUGAUGUUUCUCUGAGGCCUCACACACUGCAAACAUUCUCCUAAUACAUUAGCUCCUCCUAACAGUGAGUGAAGGAGCCCUGGUGACACAGUGGUUAAGUGCUCGGCUGCUAACCUAAAGGUCAGCGGUUCAAACCCACCAGCGGCUCUGUGGGAGAAAGAUGUGGCAGUCUGCUUCCGUAAAGAUUACAGCCUUGGAAACCGUAUGGGGCAGUUCUGCUCUGUCCUUUAGGGUUGCUAUGAGCUGGAAUUGGCUCGGCGGCAACAGGUUUAACAGUGAGUGCUGGGAGGUAGAGGCUUAUUUUUUGUGUCUGUCUUGCAGUUGAAGACACUGAGACGUGGUUAAAAUGAUUUGCUCAAUGUGUCUCCCAUGCCGAUGAAGUGAAGUUAGGAGUUGAACUUAAGGCUUCUGAGGUAGGAUUCCAUACAUUUUACUGGCCCGGGAGGAUGGGGUGGCAGACGUGCUGACUAAGGAAGCCGGUCUGUCUAGGAGCCCCUGCUCUGGUCAGAAGUUCAUGUUCAUUGUUGUUAUGCUUUUUAAUCAUUGAUUCAGUCCAGUUCACCAUGAAUGGAUGUCCACUGUAUUCCCAGCACAGUGCUAGACUCUGCAGGACGUUAGAGACGCAUAGACCUGUCCCUGCUUUCAGGGAGGUGACAGGUACACAGCCAGUGAGAAUACAAAGCAAAAUGCAGUAGGGGCCUUAACUGAGGAACAAGCACCAGAUUUGUGGAACACUGAGGAAGGGGAAAAUCUUCGCCAGGACUUCGGCAUUUGGGCUGAACUGUAAAGGGUGAGCAGAAUUUUCGUAGGUAAAGGAAGAGGCAGGGUUUUCAUUUAAUGAAAUGGGACCGAAGUUGGGAAUAAUUUGGCACAUUCUAGAAACAUGUUGUAAAAAUGGUGUGGUGGCGUCAGAGGUCCUCUGACUUCAGGGGAAGAGAGGAAAGUCAAGAUCAACAUCAGCCCAAGCUGAUCUCCAUGAGGUGGAGGUCAAACAUACCUCUACCUUCCAGUCUUUUUGCCAGUUCUGAUGCCAGCUGUCCCUCCCACGGCACUCUCUACUUCUCUGCUGGGUUCAAUAAUUUGUUGCAGUGGCCACACAGAACUCACAGACCAUAGUCAUGAUUAUGGGGUUUAUCAGGGAAGUAACAGGUUACAAUUCAGGAUCAGGAAUGACUCAGGAUACAGUUACUCAGUCAGCUCAGUCAGGACAGCUCUUCAGCCGUGCCAGCAGGGAGGCCUCUCCCUCAGCCCCUGGGCCGCUCAGGCCAGUCUCUGCUCUGCUCCGGCAAGCAUUACAAAGCUCUUUAGUUCUGCCGAUAAGUUCCCAGAGGCACCCCACUCUGCCAGGAGCCCUCCUGCCUGAAGGCACUCAGCUCUCUCUCUCCAUGAGUUUGCACACCCACUGUAACCACCUUCCUCUGUGGGCAGGGAAGCUCACCACACCAUCUCCUGCCCGUUUCCUGAUCCUACUGCUGCCAUUUUUCUGCCGCUGCUUCUCACCGUCUUGCGCCAUCUCCAGUGUUACAACUCUCUUUCUCUCUCUCUGUCUCCUGGGUCUAAGAGGUUCUCAGUGCAGGGCCCCUGGGUGCAAAGGACACAUUCCACUCCCAGCUUUUCUUAUUGGUGGUAGUGAAGUCCUCUCUUUUUGCCUCUAGAAUGGCUCAUUUUAAGCCUAAUGGGAUGGCAAAACUGACCAGUCCCCUCAUUAGGAUUCCAUACACCUUAUUUGCAAGGUCCCACCCCACAAGGAUGCCAUGUACCUUAUUUGCAUUAUUAGUAAGCUAUCUAAUCCCUUAGUGGACCACAAAUACCUUAUUUGCAUAGUCCUACCCAAUCAUUUUGUAGGAGUCACAAGACCAUGGUGAGAAAGGCCAUAUAAGAGCUAUUCAUGCACCGCACAUGUGAUUCAGUGGGGUCAGUGUACGGAAUAGGACAGAGGUUCUCAAGCUUGAGUGUGCCUGAGAACCCCACCAGGACACACCCUCAGAGAUCUGAAUUUCGAGGGUCUGGGGUGGCGUACAGGGGGGCAUCGAACUAGUGGGGGUCAGUCAGGGAGGUAACUGGUAAGUGGAGGUCUCAGGGAUAAAGGGAUGAAAGGAGAGAGAGGAGCUGGUUCCAGGCUGAGUGGAUAGCCAUUUUGAAGGCCUUGACCUCCAGUGGUCCUCUAGUAUUCAGGCGUUUUGCAGACUACACUCUUGAUAACAGUUAUCUUUCUGUUAUGAAGAGUGAUAUCUUUUUCCAAACAACUCCUGGGAUUGGUUUCCUGGGUCAGAAGGCUUGGGACCAUAGCCUGGGGCACAAGCUAAUUAUUUGACAUCACAUAGUUCACAAAGAUAAUGUUCUACAUCCUAGUUUGGUGAGUAGUGUCUGGGAUCUUAAAAACUUGGGAGCGGCCAUCUAAGAUACAACUAUCGCUCUCUGCUCAUCCAGAGCAAAAGAGAAUAAAGGACAUCCAAGACUCAAAGAAGAAACUAGUCCCCAGAACUAAUAGCCCACACGAAACACAGCCUCUUCUAACCUGAGACCAAAAGAACCAGAUGGUGCCCAGCUACCACUACCGACGGUUCUGACCAAGGCACAGUAGAAGGUCCUGGGUAGAGUGGGAGAAGAACGUAGAACAAAACUCAAGUUCCUAAAAGAGGCCAGAUCUACUGGACUGAAAGAGACUAGAGGAACCCCCAAGACUAAAAAACUAAAAAAAAAAUUUUUAGUUUUUUAGUUUACCCAAAAAUACCCUUUGAACUUGGAAUUGAAGCUAUUUCUACAGAUUGUCUUUUAGCCAAAUAAUAGAUUAGCUUAUAAAAUAAACAACAUCACCUGUGAGUAAUGUGUUCCCUUAAACAAUCAACUAUAUGAGACCAAACGGUCAACAUUUACCCAAAAGUACAGGUGAGAAGGCAAAGAGGGGAAGCAAAACUAGACCAAUGGAAACAGAACAAACAGAAUGGAAUUAAUGAGAAUACUGAAAAUUACUAUUGUGAAAAUUGUAAACAAUGUCAUGAAACCAUUUGUAUAAAAAUUGUUAAAGGGGAAUCUAAUUUGCUGUGUAAACUUUCACCUAAGGCACAGUAAAAUAUUACAUUACUUUAAAAAAAAAAAAAAGUUACUUUUCUCAGACAGUUUUGAUCAGGCCCCUGCCCUGCUUCAGUGAGUUCUCUACCAGUCAGGAGUCUUGAUGAUAAACAGUAGAACCCUCUCUGCCUAGCUGGAACAGAGCAGGAGUUUAUGGGAAGAUUGUGUACUGACUGGCCAGAAAAGCUGGAGAGCGGGAUUUGGAGAAGGUGCUGGAACCAAGGGAGGCUUGGCAGGGCAGACCAAGCUGAGGAUGAGCCGGGAGCAGCCUGGAUAGGACACCACCGGCAUGGUGAUCUCUUAACUGUCGCUGCUUUCCUGUGUCAAUCCCUCAAGAGUCCCAUCUCAGAGCUGACCAGCAGGAAACUGCCUCUCAGUAAAACUGCUACCCACUGGGGAAUCUCCAAAAGGAAGGUCAGGCACUAGUAGGGGUGGGUGGGGGUCAGAUAAUGGGAAGCAAAACCACAUGGCAAAUGGCUACUACGCUUUCUGUUCUUCUUCUUGCCUUUGAAAGGCAGGUCUCAUGCCUCAUGGCACUAGGCCUUCCCCAUCUCCUGCCAUCUGCUCCACGACACUCCACUCAGCUGCCUGCAGGACACUGUCUGGGAGGCCCUGCCCUCUCUCUGACUCAAAAACCCUUUCCUCCUUGUAGGCGCUGCCUUCACUGCCUGCUGAAAGGAGCUGUCCUUCUGCUCUCAGCCAGCCCUUCUUUGUGAGGCACCUGUCUAUUGUUGCCCUGGCCACUGUGUAUGGAGGUGUUUGGGUUUCUCUGUCUUCUCUGAGGCUGGGAGGCAGGAAGGAGCUCUGUGCUGGGUCCCCCCAAGGCGCCUCCGGAUCCUUCAGUUCCCAGCACAGGGCACACAGCAUAUGCAAGUGUGGAGUGCACGUUUGAAGUAUGGUUUAGUCAUCUACUCUCCUUAGUCUUAGGGAUAUUUAGGGGUAUUCUUAGGGACAUUUGGGGGUGUGGUAUUGAGCAGAAGGGGAGAAUGGUGGGCUGUCGAGUUGAGGUCUUUUAUUUUUGCCUGAAUGGCUUUGUUGUUGUUGUUAGGUGCCCUUGAGUCGGUUCUGGCUCAUAACAACCAUGUACAAUAGAACAAAACACUGUGAGGUCCUACGCUAUCCUCACAGUCCUUGUUAUGCUUAAGCCCAUGGUUCAGGCCACUGUGUCAGUCCAUCUCAUUGAGGGUCUUCCUCUUUUUCACUGACACUCUACUUUACCAAGCGUGCUGCCCUUCUCCAGGGACUGACCCCUCCUGACAACAUGACCAAAGUAUGUGAGAUGUAGCCUCACCAUCCUUGCUUCUAAGGAGCAUUCUGGUUGUACUUCUUCCAAGACAGAGUUGUUCAUUCUUCUGGCAGUCCGUGGUGUAUUCAACAUUAUUCCCCAAUACCACAAUUCAAAGGCAUCGAUUCUUCUUUGGUUUUCCUUAUUCAUCAUCCAGCUUUCACAUGCAUAGGAGGCGAUUGAAAACGCCAUGGCUUGGGACAGACGUACCUUAGUCUUCAAGGUGACAUCUUUGCUUUUCAACACUAAAGAGGUCUUUUGCAACAGAUUUGCCCAAUGCAAUGCAUCUCUUGAUUUCUUGACUGCUGCUUCCAUGGGUGUUGAUUGUGGGUCCAAGUAAAAUGAAAUCCUUGACAACUUCAGUCUUUUCUUUGUUUAUCAUGAUAUUGCUUGUUGGUCCAUUUAUGAGGAUUUUUGUUUUCUUUAUGUUGAGGUGUAAUCCGUACUGAAGGCUGUGGUCUUUGAUCUUCAUCAGUAAGUGCUUCAAGUCCUCUUCACUUUCAGUAAGCAAAGUUGUGUCAUCUGCAUAACGCAGGUUGUUAAUGAGUCUUUCACCAAUUCUGAUGCCCUGUUCUUCUUCAUAUAGUCAGCUUCUCAGAUUAUUUGCUCAGCAUACAGAUUGAAUAGGCAUGGUAAAAGGACUUAAGCCUGACGCACACCUUUCCUGACUUUAAACCACGCAGUAUACCGUUCGAACCGCUGCCCCUUGAUUUAUGUACCGGUUCCUCAUAAGCACAAUUAAGUGUUCUGGAGUUCCCAUUCUUUGCAGUGUUAUCCAUAAUUAUGAUCCACGCAGUCGAAUGCCUUUGGGUGGUCAGUAAAACACAGGUGAACAUCUUUCUGGUAUUCCGAAUGGCUGAAGGGCUGGAAAAGGGUAAGAGCUGCUGCUGCGUAGACUCUGCCCCAGGACGGGGACAGUUUCAGUGAAGCAGCUUGUGCCUACCUGUCAUUAUGAAACUGAAGGCCCUCCUCCUGCAGAACAGGAUCAAACAGGAUCUGGAGCCUUGCUCUCCAAGUCUUGCUCAACUUUUCCAUCUCCUGUUUCAGGAGAGCAGCAGAGAGGACAGUAUGGUACAAGGGUGGGGGCAGGUAGGAAGCCGGGAAGUACAGGCAAGACCUGGGGCGUUCACGUGGCACAUUCAUCAACGUGGCACGUUCAUCAACGUGGCACAUUCGUCAAUGAAGCCUUUGUUGAGCACCUGCUCUGUACCAGCCUCUAUUUGGAGACAUCCCUGUGGUAAUAGUACCACAGGCACUUGGGGUGGCUGUGAGCUCAGCACAGGAACCAGACAGCUGUAAAUCCUAGCACUUGCUGUUUGGGUCACCUUGGACCAGUUGCUUAACUUCUCUGUGCCUCAUUUCCUCAUCUGUAGAAUGGAGAUGAUAAGGGCACCUGCCUCAGAGUGUUGUGGAAAUUAAAUGAGGAAGUCUCUGUAAAGUGCUUGCACAAUUACCGGCACGUAGUAAAAAACAUAGUAAGGCUCAGUAAAUGCUAACAGUUUAUUGUUUCUAUUAUGACUACCGCUAUUAACUGGCUUUUUCCUCUUACUUAUUGUUCUCAGAAACUAGGCUGUGCCUCUUUCUAAAAGUAAGCAUUUCAAACCAAUAAAUGGAAUAAGGUGGACAGCCUUUCAAAUGUGGGGUGCUGAGAAUCUGAUGCCUCUAAUUUGGGGUGAGGUAAGGAUUGGAGGCCUGGGUUCCCUGGCUGGGCAGAAGGUAGGGCCCUUGCUUGAGUGGGGACUCCUGGUAUAGUUGGUUGUUGACCCUGACACAGGGAAGAAGGACAGCCGCAGUGAGAGACCCUGAGAGGGAGCCCCCCACUUCUGGAACGGGGUGGCUGUGAAAAGAGCACGGGGUUUGGAAGAGGGAGAAGGAGGUUCCCACCUUGCCUCCGGCUCCCUUACCCACCCCUGAGACCAGAGCAAGUCACCGCCUCUCCCGACUUGUUCCUCGUGUGUAACAUGCACCACCAACACCACUCUCCAGGUGCUUUGCACAUUGACUCAUCCAGAAGGACACUUGAACCAUCUACCUCACUGAGCGACUUUGAAGAUUAUCUAAGAGCACGUGAGAAAGUGCCUACCCAGGGGUUAAACGCAAAACCAACUGAGAGUGCUAAUAAAGUUCUUUGCCAGCACACAGUCACGUUUAAACUUUAUAUAGUUGGUGUAUAUAAAUAUACACAAAGAUGAGGUAAAUCGCUGUAAAAAAAAAAAUAAGCUGUUUCGGUUACGUAUUCAGCAGAUUCCUCAUUGUUAUUGCCACUCUCUCAGUCCAUCUCGUUGAGGGUCUUCCUCUUUUUUUCUGACCUUCUACUUUAUCAAGCAUGUUGUCCUUCUCCAGGGACUGGUCGCUCCUGAUGGCAUGUCCAAAGUACAUGAGAUGAAGUCUCGCCAUCCUUGCUUACAAGGAGGACUCUGGCUGUACUUCCUCCAAGACAGAUUUGUUUGUUCUUCUGGCUGUCCAUGGUAUAUUCGAUAUUCUUCUCCAACAGCAUAAUUCAAAUGCAUCAGUUCUUCUUCGGUCUUCCUUAUUCAUCGUCCAGCUUUCGAAUGCAUAUGAGGCAGUUGAAAAUACCUUGGCUUGGGUCAGGCACGCCUCAGUCCUUAAAGUGACAUCUUUGCUUUUUAACACUCUAAAGAGGUCUUUUGCAGCAGAUUGCGAGGAUGACGCAUGACUGGGCAGUGUUCCGUUCCGUUGUGCGGGGGUCACUGUGAGUGGGAACCGACUGGACGGCACCCAACAACAGCAGCAUGUCGUGUCACCAUUGUCACUGUCCAUUUUCAAAUGUUUUUAACGCCCUUGAACAGAAACUCAGCGCCCCUUAAGAAAUAACUUCUCAUUGUCUCCUCUCCCUAGCCCCUGGUAACCACUAGUAAACUUUUCUUCUAUGAAAUGCCAGUUUUUUAAAGUACCAGGGUGCUUGGUGCUUGGAGAGGUACAGGAGAGUGGCAGAUUUGGACCAUGUACCCAUGGGUUGGGGACAGUUGAUGGUUCAGUGGUAGAAUUCCCCCUUUCCACGCGGGAGACCCAGGUUCAGUGCCUGGCCAGUGUACUUCGUGCUGAGCCACCACCCUCUGUCAGAGGAGGUUUGCAUUCUGUGAUGCUGAACAGGUUUCAGCAGAGCUUCCAGACUAGGACAGACUAAGAAAGGCCUGGCAAUCUACUUCCAAAAAUCAGCCAGUGAAAACCUAGUGGAUCACAACGGUUCGAUUUGCAACUGAUCGUAGGAAUGGCAUAGGACCGGGUAACAUUUCACUCCCUUGUGCAUAAAAAACCCACUGCUGUCCAGUCGAUUCCAACUCAUAGCCACCCUAUAGGACAGAGUUUGUGUGUAGGGUUGAAGUCGCCGCCAGGGCUUCCCCCACUGUGCGGAAGUUUCCCCCACCCCACCCCUGCCAAGCAGCAGUUUCUAACUUCCGCUUGGCGGGACCUCGCAGUGCACCCUAACAAUGGUUUAAAUUUGGCGCUGUGAUCCCGCACACGUGCAAACCAGGACCGGAAGAGCCGUGGCCCCGAACUUGACCCUGGACCUGAACUUGUCAGGGGAGGAAGAUGUUCUCUGGCACACAGCUGCACCCCAGGCCAUUUGCAAAGCAAAGUUCCCUUGCUUUGCAAAUGACACAACACCUAGAUUCCAAAUAUGGACAUGGGAGGGACGGGGUGUCAGAUUUUGGGUGCCAGUCCCACCCCCUGGGGACUAAAGGGUAUAAAAGCUCCAAGCUCCCCUGGGGCGGGGAGUGCGUGGUCUUUCAGCUACGAGGCCCCACAUUGCUCCUUGUUUGUGCAAAGAAUAAAUUUCCACUUUCUGUUUCCCCUGCAACUGGUGGUGUGGUGUCCAUCUUAUUUCCAUCAGCUAAUUUAAAAAAAAAAAAAAAAUUUUUUUUUUUUUUUAAUAAGACAGGAUAAGAACCCUUAUUUGGUUACAGGGUCACCAUAAGUCAGGGACUGACUUGACGGCAGCUAGUGACACUUGUGGAGCACAAAAUAUAAACAUUUAAAAGUAUAACUUACUGUAUAUAAUGUGAAGGAGCCCUGGUGGUGCAGUGGUUAAGGCGCUCAGCUGCUAACCAAGAUGGUGGUGGUUUCAGCCUACCAGCCACUCCGCGGGAGAUACGGCAGUCUGCUGUUGUAGAUUACAGCCUUGCAAACCCACUGGGCGGUUCUGCGCUGUCUGUACGGUCACUCUGGGUCGACUGCAGUGGAUAUGUUUGGUAUAUAAUGUGGCAAAAUAAAAUUUCCAAAAGUUUAAAACAUACUCUUAUACAUCAUGAGCGUAUACCAGACAUAUCCAAGACUUCCUUGACAUUAUUAAUCAGGAAACCAGCAAGUUGCCAAAGCUAGCUCAAAGGAGAAUGUAAUAAACUGGUUAUUUACAAAGAAAGAAAAAGAAUGCUGAAAUAAAUGGGGAAACCCUGGUGGCAUAGUGGUUAAGUGCUACGGUUGCUAACCAAAGGGUUGGCAGUUUGAAUCCGCCAGGUGCUCCUUGGAAGCUCUGUGGGGCAGUUUUACUCUGUCCUAUAGGGUCACUAUGAGUCGGAAUUGACCCAACAGCGCUGGGUUUGGUUUUUUGGUUUUUUUUUUUGGAGUAAAUGCAGAUUUCUGUACAAAACUGGUUAUUGCCCUGCAGUAAUAAAACCAACUGCUUUGCAGUUAUCUUUUCUACCAGACAAAAACCAUUUACAACCUAGCAGUUUUCUAUAAGUUAACAUCUAACUUUGUGGAAUCUGGGCCCUAAUCAGUAGUAAAUAGAAAAUCAGACAGUUCCGUUUCCCUAGAGCAUCAGGCGGGUUAGACAGUGCUCUCUCUCUGUUAUUUUUUUGUUUUUAAUUUCCAAGUUUUGGUUAAUUUCUUUUUUUUAACAAAUAAAUCACAUUUGGGUUGAAGAGCUUAAAAAAUGGCUGGAUCUCAGGUGGAGAAGAGUCUUUGGUAAAAAGUAAUCGUAAGUCGUUUUGAAGCAGAAUUGUGGACUCAGGACUGGGAGAGAGGGAGAGGACAGUAAGGAGCACAUAAGAUGAGGCAUGGCAGUUACAGGCAGGGAGAGGCUGUCCCCACCACAGAGGCGAGUGUGCACGAAAAGGAGUGGGGAUUUUUUUAGAGUGGGGAGGAAUGAAGGUGAGGAGAAGUGAAAUCUCUUUUGCGAUAGGAAGGUCCCCCCCCCCUUUUUUUUACUGAACUUUAGAUGAAGGUUUACAGAACAAACUAGUUUCUCAUCAAACAGUUAGUACACACGUUGUCGUAUGACGUUGGUUACCAAAUGCACAACAUGUCAUUACUCUCCCUUCUCAACCCUGGGCUCCCUAUUACCAGCUUUCCUCUUCCCUCCUGCCUUCCAGUCCCUGCCCCAGGGCUGGAGUGCCUCUUUAGUCUUGUUUUGUUCCAUGGGCCUAUUGAGUCUUUGGUUGAAGGGUGAACCUCAGGAGUGGCCUCAUUACUGAGCUGAAAGGGUGUCCAGGAGCCAUAUUCUCAGGGUUUCUCCAGUCUGUCAGGCCAGCAAGUCUGGUCUUUCUUUUUGAGUUAGAAUUUUGUUCUACAUUUUUCUCUAGCUCUGUCUGGGACCCUCUAUUGUGAUCCCUGUCAAAGCAGUCAGUGAUGGUAGCCGGGCACUGUCUCAUUGUACUGGACUCAGUCUGGUGGAUGCUGUGGUAGAUGGUGGUCCAUUAGUCCUUUGGACUGAUCUUUCCCUCGUGUGUUUAGUUUUCUUCAUUCUUCCUUGCUCCUGAAGGGGUGAGACCAGUAGAACAUCCUCGAUGGCCAUUCAUAGGCUUUUAAGACCCCAGACGCUACUCACCGAAGCAGAAUGUAGAACGUUUUCUUUAUAAACUCUGUUAUGCCAGUUGAGUUAGAUGUUCCCUGAGACCAUGGUCCCCACAGCCCUCAGCCCAGCAAUUUGGUCUCUCAGGGAGUUUGGAUGUGUCUAUAGAGCUACUGUGGCCCUGCCUUGUACAGGUUGUUCUGGCUUCCCCAGUAUUGUGUACUGUCUUACCCUUCACCAAAGUUACUGCUUAUCUUUUGUCUAUUAAGUGUUUUCCCAUCCCCAUCCCUCCCCUCCCUCGUAACCAUCAAAUAUUGUUUCUUUUUGUAUGUAAACCUUUUCAUGUGUUUUUACAGCAGUGGUCUCAUACAAUAUUUGUCCUUUUGUGAUUGUCUUAUUUCAUUCAGCAUAAUGUCCUGGCUGAGUUCCUUUUGUUUGUGGAUUUCUUUUUCAUUUCUUUUGUUUUUAUUGAGACUUUAUGUUUUUCUUCUUUAUUUUGAUGAGUAGGUUUGUUAACUUUCUUUGUGGUUACCUUGAAAUUUACCCUUAUCUUCCUAAGGUUGAGCAAGUCUAUUAUGACUUGGUAUUGCCUUGCCUUCCUCUCCGUUAGAGAGUUCUAUACCUAUACUGUUUCUUCCCUCUUUUAUUGUUCUGAUGUUGUUGUCAUUUACAGAUUAACCUCUCUGGUUCCCUGUUGCAGUUGCUUUGGUUUUGGAUAGUCCUUGAGAGUUCAUUUCCUAGGUUGGUAUCUGGCUGGUACAGUCUUGCAUCCUAGAUUCAGGCUGUGGUCUGAUGUUGUUUGUUCUCAGACCAAAGGACUCCCUUUAAUAAUUCUUGUAAGCUUGGUUUGGUUUUUACAUAUUUCCUUAAUUUCUGUUUAUCUGGAAAUGUCCUAAUUUUACCAUCAUGUUUGAAUGAAAGUUUUGCAGGAUAUACCAUUCUUGGUUGACAGUUUUUUUCUUUCAAGGUUUUAUAUAUGUCGUCCCAUUGCCUUCUUGCCUGCAUAGUUUCUGCUGAAUAAUCAGAGCUUAGUCUUAUUGUUUCUCCUUUAGGUGACUUUUUUUUUCCGAGCUGCUCGCAGGAUUUUUCCUUUGUCUUUGGUUUUAACGAGUAUGAUUAUGACAUGCCUCAGUGAUUUUCUUUUGGGGUCUAUCCUAUAUGGGGUUUGUUGAACUUCUUGGCUGGUCAGCUUUUCAUCACUCAUCAUAUUAGGGAAGUUUCCCGUCAGCAAUUCUUCAAUGAUCCUCUCUGUGUUUUCCAUUUUCUCUUCCUGUUCUGGAACUCCGAUCAUUCACAAAUUUUUGCUUUUGAUUGUAUCCCACAUAAUUCUCAGAGUUUCUUCAGUUUUCUUCAUUCUUUUUCCUGAUUUUUCCUCAAACGGAAUUGUAUCCAAGUGUUUGUCUUCAGUUUUGCUGAUUCUGUCUUCCAUCAUUUCAGACCUGCUGCUCAGCCUUCUAUGAUACUGUCCAUUUCUGAAAUCUUGUCGUGUAUCCUUUGGAACUCUAAUUGUUGUUUUUGUAUGAUUUCUAGUUGUGAAUUUAUUUUGGCAUUUUGUUCUGGUAUUACUUUCCUGAAUUGUUCCAUUUUUUUGUCUGUAUUUUCCAUCAAUUUGUCUGUCUUUGCCAAAAAUUUGUCUUGUUUUUCCUAAUUUUUGUCUGCUUUUUGCUUCAACUCUUGGAUUGCUCUGAAUAUUAGAGUUUUGAAUUCCCUGUCAGGUAGUUCUAGUGCCUUUUCUUCUACUGGAAAGUCAUCUGGUGGUGUAUUUUGGACACUUACUGGACCCAUCCUAUCCUGUUUUUUUAUAUGUUUUGCUAUUGUCUGUUGUCUUCAGGACAUUUAGUAGUUAUUUUCUUUGUUUCUGGAGUAUAGAUUUUGUUAGUUUUGUCCUGCUUUUUUGUUUUAUUUGGCUAUGUCUGAGCAGGUGGACUGUGCAUUCUUUGUUGUUUGGUUGUAGUCACCAUACUUUUUACCUCCUUGUCCAAUGGGUAGGGCCAGUCACUCAGCUAUGGUGCAGCAUGCCAGGUCCAGCUGAAGGGGAGGUCCUGGCAUGGGUUGUUUGUGGCACAUACUAAGUCCGACAUGGCGGACCAGGAAUCAGUGCUGGGCAGGUUCCAGUAGGCCGUGCCUGUGCUGCUCGGGGGUGUGAUAUUCAGUGUACAAUGCAGGUAGGCAGGAAAGGGGGGAGGUUGUAAUGUGUGGAACUAAUAGGGGUGUGGGAAAGAGGAGAGAGAGAACAGAAAAACAGGAUCUAAAAACAAACAAGCAAACAAAGAAAAAGAAAAAAAAAGCAUGCUAAGGGAGCUUGCCAUUGGAGUAGAGAGAUGAGAAACUGUGAAAUGGAGAAAAGAAAAAGGGAAAAAGAAAGAAAAAAAAAACUAGGUAAAAAUUUGGAAAAGAAAAGCCCCCAGGAGUCCCAGAGUCCCACCGGUGGGGCUGCUAAGACUGGGGAAAUGGCUCCCAGGCUACACAGUAUAGCGUGGCUAGAGGGGGUAUAGAUGUCACACAGCACCAAGUAUUCAGGAGACAGGAAAAGAAGAUAAGUGUUGAGAGACGAGAACUGAGAAGUGAAUACAGACAGAAAGGGAAAAAGAGAGAGAAAAGAAAAAAAAGAGAAAGAAGAAAAAAAGAAUUUCCCCCAGGGAUCCCACUACAUGGCUGCGCAGAUCGGAGGAGUGGCUCCUAAGCCGUGCAGUGCAGCCAGCUAGAAGGGGCUCCCAAGCUGCAAAAAGAAAAAGAAAACAAACAAAGCAAAACAAGGGGGAAAGAAAGCCCCAGGGAUCCCAGUAGCGUGGUGUCACGGGCCGGGGGAGUGGUUCCCCAGUUGAGCGUGGCUUCACAGCCUUUCAUGAAGAAGCAAAGAUGGCACACGGAGCCAGGUGUUCCAGAGAAAGGAGGGGAAGGUGGUAGGAGGCACAGAAGAAACCAAAAGAGAUGGAAAGAACCCACACCAGCUCAGGGGCCAGGCCAGUGUGGGCAGGGUGAGUCCAAGCAGCCUGAGGCCAAAGCAGUUGCCUCCUGGCCAAGAGACUAUGGCAGCAGGAAGCAGAGGAGGCCAAAGUGGGGGGAAGAAAGGGGGCUAGGAAAGUAUACAUCGCUCAUUACCGGGUACUCUGUCUCCUGCUGGGAACUUAAUGAAGCUGCUCUCCCAUACUCCCUGUCCACCAAUCUCUGACAUGGGUGCAGCAAAUCCAAGCAGCACGGAUGCUGUACUUCCCGGCCACCCGAGCCACCGCAGCCAGCCAGGAAGCUCGGAGGUAGAACAGCGGGGAGAGAAUGGGAGGUGGGAAAGCAUGUAUCACUGGUUACCUGGUGUUCUGUCUCCUGCUGGGAGUUCUGCGAAGCUGCUUUCCUGUGCUCCCUGCCUGACGAUCCUGGACUGGAGCCCAAGACGGUGGAUCCGUGCUGCAUUAGUCAAUCAGGCCUCCCGCAGGGUAUCUUUCCUUGCUCUCCAUCCUCUGUCGGUUUCUUAUUCCAUUCGGUGCUUGGCUGAGUUCUCUCUUCAUUUGGUACUUCAGGUUCCAGGAAUGAUGUUUGUCUCUGGUUUACUUAGUUUUUUGGAUCUUUGCUGUGGAGGGACGGUGUGGUGCUUCUGUCUGUGGCACCACGUUGGCCGGAAGUCCUGUGGUAGGAAGCUUUGAAGCUCAUGUUUAAGAAAAUGUGAUUUGAUUUCAAAGGCUGUUGGACCACCAAGAUACUCCAAGAAGGCGACUAUCACCUGGUUGGAGGCUGCAGUGGAAAUCAAGGCAGGGCUUCUACAUUCAAGGGUAUGGUUGACAGAGCCCGGCUCCUUCACUUCUUUGGGUGACUUGAGUGAGAGUAACUGAUGUUUUGGGUCUUGGAGAAAGCACCGAUGAUCACAGAAACAAAAUGGAAAGCUAUCUUGCAGUCGAUCCCCAGGUUUCGUUUUAGUUAUUGAGUGUUCUAUAACAAAUACCACAAGUGGAUGGCUUUAACAAAGAGAAAUUUAUUCUCUCAUGGUUUAGGAAGCUAGAAGUCCAAAUUCAGGGUGCCAGCUCCAGGGGAAGGCUUUCUCUGUCAGCUCUGGGGGAAGGUCCUUGUCAUCAAUCUUCCCCAGUCUAGGAGCUUCUCAGCACAGGGACCCUCAGUCCAAAGGAUGUGCUUUGCUCCUGGCAUUCCUUUAUUGAUGGUAUAAGGAUCCCCUUUCUCUCUGCUCUCUUCUCUCUAGAGAGAUUGACUCAAGAUACAACCUAAUCUUGUAAACUGAGUCCUGUGUCUUUAACAUAACUGUCCCUAAUCCUGCCUCAUUGAUAUCAUAGAGGUAGGAUUUAUAACCCAGAAAAUCAUAUCAGAUGACAAAAUGACAGACAAUCACACAGUACUGGGAAUCAUGGCCUAGCCAAGUUGACACGUUUUGAGGGGGACACAACUCAAUCCAUAACAGGUUAGAUAAUGGCUUGCUUUUUUUUUUUUUCUCCUAACCAGAGAACUCCCUUUAGUAUUUCUUAUAGUUUUGGUUUGCUUUUUACAAAUUCCCUAAACUUCUGUUUAUUUGGAAAUGUCCUAAUUUCGCCUUCAUAUUUGCGAGUUUUGCUGGAUAUAUGAUUCUUGACUUUAUAUAUGAUAUCAUAUAUGAUACAUGAUUCUUGACUUUAUAUAUGAUACCAUAUGUGAUAUAUGAUUCAAUACUUUAUAUAAGUAAUCCCAUUGCCUUCUUGCCUGUGUGGUUUCUGCCAAGUAGUCUGAACUUACUCUUAUUGACUCUCCUUCAUAGGUGACUUUUUGUUUAUCCCUAGCCACUCUUAAUAUUCUCUCUUAAUCUUUGAUUUUGGCAAGUUUGAUUAUAAUAUGCCUUGGUGACUUUCUUUUAGAUCUACCUUAUAUGGAGUUCAGUGAGCAUCUUGGAUAGAUAUCUUCUCAUCUUUCACGAUAUCAGGGAAGUUUUCUGCAAAUAAAUCUUCAACAAUUCUCUCUGUAUUUUCUGUUCUCCCUCCCUGUUCUGGAACUCCAAUCACUCGUAGGUUAUUUCUCUUGAUAAAGUCCCACAUGAUUCCUAGGGUUUCUUCAUUUUUUAAAACUCUUUUAUCUGAUUUUUCUUCAAAUAUAUUGGUGCCAAGUGUUGUGUCUUCAAUCUCACUAAUUCUGGCUCCCACUUCCUCAAUUCUGCUCCUCUGACUUUCUAUUGGGUUGUCUAAUUCUGUAAUUUUACUGUUAACCUUCUAAAUUUCUGAUUGCUGUCUCUCUAUGGAUUCUUGCAGCUUAUUAAUUUUUUCAUUAUGUUCUUGAAUAACCUUUUUAAUUUCUUCAACUGCUUUAUCUGUGUGUUCCUUGACUUGUUCUGCAUAUUGCCUGAUCUCCUUCCUGAUCUCAUUCCUGAUGUCCUGAAGAGUUCUGUAUAUUUAUCUUUUGUGUUCUGCAUCUGGUAGUUCCAGGGAGGUACCUUCAUCCAGAAGAUCCCUCGAUUCUUUGUUUUGAGAGCUUGUUGAAACAAUCAUGGUCUGCUUCUUUAUGUGUUUUGAUAUUGACUGUUGUCUCCGAGCCAUCUAUAAGUUAUUAGUUUCUUUUAUGUUUGCUUACUGUAUCCUAGCUUCUUGCUUUGUUUUGUUUUGAUGUAUCCAAGUAGGCUGCUCGAGUGAGCUAGCUUGAUUAUUUUUGCCUUUGAAGCUCUAACGUCCUGUCACCAGAUGGCUAGAGCUGUUAUCAGGUAUGUGAGCUUAUGAGUCCAUCCACUUUUCUUCUGUGGUUUCAGCUCCGUCAUCCAGGUAGUUGUUCAUCAAUUGUGUGGUACAGGCUCUGUCCUACAGUCUUAGGAGGGCAGGGGUGAUCAGUAUAGGUACAGGUAUCUGGUUGUGGCAGGGGGUCACGCUCUGAACAAGGUAGGGGCUGACAGCCAUCCCUCCUAAUGUCUGUGAGGAAAGUGUAUCCCUAUUCCCUAGAGCGCACAAGUGUGUGGGCUCUGCACACGGACCAUGGGCACCCAGUGCUUUUGGCUGUGAGGACUGGGAGGUACCAGCUAUCCUUGGACCCCUGUCAUGGUUGGCUGGGUGACCUGAGUGGAGCCACCAGUCCUCAGGCCCCUGAUGUGGGUAGGUGAGGACCCUGUUUAAUAGACAAAGCAGUGGCAAACAGCAAACACCCACCUCUCUACCGCACAGCUGAAACAGUUGCAGUCUGCCAGCAAGGGCCUAUUCUCCUGAAAUGGGCCCACACAGGGCCAUGCAGGGGUGAAAGGUAUUCAAAGUCCAUGGGCCGUUUAUGCCUGGACAGGAGCUGCUUCUUUCCUGAGCCCCCCAGUUUAGUGGAGCUAGCAGAUUAUCUUUUCCCCCAGUUGUGAAUUUAUUCCUUCUCCAAGGCUGGGAGAAUGGCUCAGGGCACACAGCAGGGCCUAUCUCAGGCCCAGGGAGAUCAACAGCCACUGAAGCUGACUUGCGGGCUGGGGGCACGGUAAAAUAAACGCAAGUACUUAGCUUUUGCUGAGAGUGCUGUUCUUCUCUGGUUCCGGAAGUGUGAGUAGGUUGUGUGGCUUGCUGUCUCUCCCUAAGGAAAGAGCGUCCGGAAUGCUACCACCAGCCCUGCUGCAGUUGUUCCCGGGAAUGGUCCUGAGGGAUCCUGGUGAUUCAGGUCUGGUAACUCCUCUCUACAUCUGGACCGUGUCUCCCUCCCCCUGCCGCUCAGUCCGUUUUCUAACUUUGCCUUUGAUAUUCAGAGCUCCUAGCUUGUCAUAAACAUAAUCGUUUCACUUGUUUUGGGGGGUCUUUGUUGUAAGAAGGAUCACCAGAAGCAUCUGACUACUCCACCAUCUUGGCCCUGCCUCUUCUGAUUUUUUUAUUCUUUUAAUUAUUAGAAAAAACAUUGCAGUUGGGGGGAAUAGGAUUACCAGCUUGAAAGAGUUCUAUAUACUCAACAAGGAUUCUUGCUAGAAAUUGGAUCCUGUGUUUACCUCCCUCUGCCGCACUGGUUUCCUUGUGUGGUCCAGCUCAUUCCCAGCUGCCUGCGCACAUCAUGCCAUGCUUAUCUCUGUGUUCUUGUGUAUGUGAAAGAUAAAAAGUAAAUGAAGAAAGUUUAGGCAAAUAUCCCUAAUGUUCACCUAUAAUCUUGGGGAUAAGGGCCUUUUUAUGUAUAACACAAGCCGUGUAAUUUGACUACGCAGUGUUGAAACUUUUAUGCGGUCAGUUCUAAUAUAACAUGACAUGCGCAUUCCUAAAAAUCACCACACUAUGCAAAAACACGCAAUAAAAACCAUGGGGCUUAUGGGGAGAUGGGGUUAGGGUCACAACAACACUCAAAAACUUAAGUAGCAACCAAAAAAAAAAGAUAGGAAAAACAUAAAAAGACAUUUUCAAAACCAACGGGAACUUAAUAAAACAGUUUUAUAGCUGUUAAGUGAUUAUGAAAUAUAUAAAUAUCACAAUGAAUACAGUACCUCAUCUUGAAAGAGGCCUUGGGUUUGCUUGUAAAGUGGGUGGUGGAAGGUUACAGCUGUGUGUUAUCAUGAAACGGAGGAAAGAGCAUUAUCUGCAAUCAGGCGGAAAGUUGUAAUCCCAAAUGUGUUUGCGUGUGGUUCAUAGCAGAGGCUGUGACCUCACAAGCUGAGAGAUGUUUGAGGUGUGUGCCCGUGUGUGUUCUGCGUAUCGCUAUGUGGCUCAAUUCAACUGGGUGUGGUUUUCUGCAUCAUCUAGUGUUUUCUCUUAAAUCUUUAGUCAUCGAGUGGAUUCUGAUUCCUAGCGACCGUAUAGGACAGCGUAGAACUGCUCCAUUGGGUUUUCGAGGUUGUGAUCUUUACAGAAGCAGAUUGCCACAUCUUUCUCCUGCAGAACAGCUGGUAGAUUUGAACUACCGAUCUGUUGGUUAGCAGCUGAGUACCUUAACCACUGUGCCACAAGGGCUCCUAGCAUAUUACACACAAGGUAAUAAAUAUUCAAAACUCACUCUUCCUAAGUAUUUUACCGCAUUUACUAUUGCCUGUACUCUUGAGAUUAUUUAUGUAUGUCAUGUCUGUAUGGUAAAUCUAUGUAACGGUUGCUGUCGCCAAAAUCUGUUGCCUUCGAGUAGAUUCCGACUCAUAACAACCCUAUAGGACAGAGUAGAACUGCCCCAUAGUGUUUGCAAGCCUGUAAAUCUUUAUGGAAGCAGAUUGCCACAUCUUUCUCCCAUGGAGCCACUGGUGGGUUCUGAACCACUGACCUUUGGGUUAGCAACCAAGCACAUUAACCACUGUGCCACCACACGAAAUUCAUAUUAUGCUCAAAUUGUUCUCUAAUAUAUCCAUCCUAUUGGAACAAGAAAUCAAAAGACACAUUGCACUGGGUAAAUCUGCUGCAAAGGACCUCUUCAAAGUGUUGAAGAGCAAAGAUGUCACCCUGAAGACUAAGGUGCACCUGACCCAAGCCAUGGUAUUUUCAAUCGCAUCAUAUGCAUGUGAAAGCUGGACAAGGAAUAAGGAAGCCCAAAGAAGCGUUGACGCCCUUGAAUUGUGGUGUUGGUGAAGAAUAUUGAAUAUACCAUGGACUUCCAAAAGAACAAACAAAUCUGUCUUGGAAGAAGCGCGGCCAGAAUGUUCCUUAGAGGCAAGGAUGGCGAGACUGCAUCUUACAUACUUUGGACAUGUUGUCAGGAGGGAUGAGUCCCUGGAGAAGGACAUCAUGCUUGGCGGAGUACAGGGUCAGCGGAAAAGAGGAAGACCUUCAACAAGGUGGAUUGACACAGUAGCUGCAACAAUGAGCUCAAGCAUAGCAACGAUUGUAAGGAUGGCUCAGGACUGGGCAGUGUUUCGUUCUGUUGUGCAUAGGGUUGCUAUGAGUUGGAACCAACUCGACAGCACCUAACAACAACAACAUUGGAACAAAUUUACAUUUUCAAAGCAAGAGGUAAAGCAAAACUGUUAAAAACACCAUGAAUAAUACAAACUAGCUGAUACUAAGUGCCAGGCACUCUGCUGUAGACGUGAUAGGAAUUGUCUCUCAACAACCCCAUGGGUUAGGUACAACUGUUAGCCACAGGUGACAGGUGAGAAAACCAGCUCAGAGAGGUAAAACUUACCCCAGGUUCCAAGGCUGGUUCGUGGCUGCUCUUAAUCACUGCGCCAUUCUUCCUCUUGAACAAACUGAAAGAGAAAUAACAAAGUCAGGCAACACUGGCAGACAUGUACAAAUGAGCAGAUUCCAUAAUCUGUGGAAGUUUUUCAAAUCCGUAAGGGAGACAAAUAGCCCAAUAGAAAAAUGGACAAAAAUCAAGAGGAGGCCAUUUAUACAAGAAAUACAAAUCCUAAUAAAAUUGAAAGAAAAAAAAAAA